UACGUAGGGUGCAAGCGUUGUCCGGAAUUAUUGGGCGUAAAGAGCUCGUAGGCGGUCUGUCGCGUCGGCUGUGAAAACCCGGAGCUCAACUCCGGGCCUGCAGUCGAUACGGGCAGACUGGAGUUCGGCAGGGGAGACUGGAAUUCCUGGUGUAGCGGUGAAAUGCGCAGAUAUCAGGAGGAACACCGGUGGCGAAGGCGGGUCUCUGGGCCGGUACUGACGCUGAGGUGCGAAAGCGUGGGGAGCAAACAGG
rnacentral:rRNA from 1 species